rnacentral:misc_RNA from 1 species
UGGGCGCAACAGCGGGAGGCAGCAGGAGAAGGAGGAGAGGUUCCAAGACAGCUGUCAGCAGUUCGCACACUAUUCCGCACUUGGGCGGGGAGAAGGAGUAGUUUGUAAUAAUGAAUAAUCAGCAUCGUGGUGAAGAUGUUGUUCCGCGUCGUACACCCCGCCGCUCAUCACGUCAAGAAAGGGGGCAGCACAAGAAGCCGGUGUCUUACCCCCUGGGGGGAGGCAGCCUUAAAAGAGGAGCCUGAUGAUGGGGAAUAAGUAAAAACAAGGCAGCCCUGCAGGAGGGGGCGGCAUAACCUCCUCUUUUCUAGGAAGAAUCCGGCAGGUUGUUCUUCCGGCGGUGGCCCCCCGGUCGCGGCGGCAGUGGCGGUGGUGGGGGGUUGUUGUGGAGGAGAACAUCAGGGUUUUGUUCUUCUUCCGUGGGGGGUUCUUCGGGGGGGGUGGGGGGGAGCUUUUGUGGGCCUCGAUGAUCGCCACCCCAGCCGUCGUCCUGGCGCGAUUCGAUGCCCAUCGUGCAUGAUGGCGGGCUGGUCCCGUCCGGACGGCGUGGUGGUGGGUGGUGGCUUGAGAACUGGAUAGUGGACGGGAGCAAGGCGGGGUUUCCUUAGAUUCCUCGUUCGCGGUGGAGAUUGAGAAUCGAUCUAUUUUUUUAGUGUUUGUUUCGAUCGUUUUGUGAUCAUUUUAGUGUGAUGAUUUGUCGUCUGGGAAUUUGCUAGGAAGGAUCCUGCGGCCAUGCGCAUCCCGCCUGGAACCCUUCCC